rnacentral:rRNA from 1 species
AUGGGUGUCGCCGUUAGUAGCGAGGACCUCGAAGACGCCGCCGUCGAGCGCGAGCACGCUCACGUCGAAGGUGCCGCCGCCGAGGUCGAACACGAGCACGUUCCGCUCCUUCCCGUCGGCCACCUUGUCGAGGCCGUAGGCGAUGGCGGCGGCAGUGGGCUCGUUGAUGAGGCGGACGACGUUGAGGCCGGCGUCCUUGGUGGCCUGGCGCUGCGCAUCGUUGAAGUAGGCCGGGAUGGUGAUCACGGCGUCCCGGACCUUGUCGCCGAGAUACGCCUCGGCUGUCUCCUUCAUCCUGGCUGA